CUUUUCACACACCUCACUAACACUGACCACCGAUGCAUAGAUGUUAGUAGGCGUUGUGGGAAGGG
rnacentral:pre_miRNA from 1 species